rnacentral:rRNA from 1 species
AUGAACGCUAGCUACAGGCUUAACCCAUGCAAGUCGAGGGGAAACGGCAUUAAGUGCUUGCACUUUUUGGACGUCGACCGGCGCACGGGUGAGUAACGCGUAUCCAACCUUCCCAUGACUAAGGGAUAACCUGCCGAAAGGCAGACUAAUACCUUAUGGUCUUCACUGACGGCAUCAGAUGUGAAGUAAAGAUUUAUCGGUUAUGGAUGGGGAUGCGUCUGAUUAGCUUGUUGGCGGGGUAACGGCCCACCAAGGCAACGAUCAGUAGGGGUUCUGAGAGGAAGGUCCCCCACAUUGGAACUGAGACACGGUCCAAACUCCUACGGGAGGCAGCAGUGAGGAAUAUUGGUCAAUGGGCGAGAGCCUGAACCAGCCAAGUAGCGUGCAGGAUGACGGCCCUAUGGGUUGUAAACUGCUUUUGGAUGGGGAUAAAGUCAAUCACGUGUGAUUGUUUGCAGGUACCAUACGAAUAAGGACCGGCUAAUUCCGUG